UUUGUUAUAUACACCAAACAAAUAUCAAUUAAAUUUACUUAUUAUUAAUAAUGAUUUGUUAAAUUAUAAUUGAAUUUGGUAUAACUAUUAUACUUAGGUAUGAUCCAAUUCAAGGACAUUGCCAGGUGGGGAGUUUGACUGGGGCGGUACAUCUCUCAAAUAAUAACGGAGGUGUCCCAAGGCCAGCUCAGUGCGGACAGAAACCACACAUAGAGCAAAAGGGCAAAUGCUGACUUGAUCUCGGUGUUCAGUACAUACAGAGACAGCAAAAGCUCGGCCUAUCGAUCCUUUUGGUUUAAAGAGUUUUUAACAAGAGGUGUCAGAAAAGUUACCACAGGGAUAACUGGCUUGUGGCGGCCA
rnacentral:rRNA from 1 species